rnacentral:rRNA from 1 species
UACAGAGGAGCCAAGCGUUGUCCGGAUUGACUGGGCGUAAAGCGCACGCAGGCGGUCUGGCGCGUGGGGUGUGAAAUCUGGCCGCUUAACGGCCAGGCGCCAUCCCAUACGGCCGGACUGGAGGGCUGCAGAGGUCGAUGGAAUUGCCGGUGUAGUGGUGAAAUGCGUAGAUAUCAGGAAGAACACCAAUGGCGAAAGCAGCUUUCUGGGACGGUACUGACGCUGAGACGCGAAAGCGUGGGGAGCGAACAGG